UUCUCGCCGUAAGCUAACUUCCUUCAACUCCUUUCCUUCCGCUCUCAUUCUCACCUCCGCGAUCUGCCCUAAGCUCUUUGCCUUCAGCUAGCACUAACACCCCCUCACCAACCGCUUGAGCCCUCAACUCUCUUCUUCUUUUCUUCAGCUUCGCCUACUUCUCCGACUCCCUUAGCUUCAGCUCUGCCUCCGGCUUGUCUCUUCACCUUCAGCUUCCUCUAGCUCCUCCUUCAGCUUGUCUCGGCGCCUCUGCUGUACUGGGACUUCAUGACCAUCCGUCCACCCAGAUAUAAGCAUUUUGGGCUAUAAAAGAAAGCCAGAAGAAGAAGAUUGGGAACAAGGGAGAGUUUGAAUUAAAAAUGACACUGAUUCAGAAAAUUUAGGAGGAACGCACAAGAAGAAGAAAGGCAAGGAGUUAUGAAAUGACCUCUUGAUUUGGGUUUUCGAACAGUAACAAGUAAUGUCUUCCUACUAAAAUUGAAUCAAUGUUUAUGGAUCCAAGAUUUGGUAAUGAAGGAAUGUAUUUGUGGA